rnacentral:lncRNA from 1 species
UGCUUCAGACUGAUCAAGAAUUGUAAGGCGUAUUGUACCCUGGAAGGGCCAAGGGAGGUGGCUGUCAUAUUCUCCUUGCAUUGUGUGGACAAAAAGGGAUAUAUAGUUUGCACAGCGCUGAGCAGUCGGUAACUGAAGGUGCAAGCGCAUGCACAGUUUGUACCCGGGUUUGCCAGUGUAGAAUCCAGGGCUAUGAAUCACAACAGGUUUCUCCUCUUCUUGACAUUUCAAAUGCAUUCCAAAGUUGCCAAUCUUCCAAAUAUAAAUUCCAUUGCACUGCUGUGCUUCGAUUUCAGCAACUUUGUCCUCAAGGGUUCGAAUGGUUCGUUUGAGCUCACUUACAUACAUACUCUGAGUUUCCAUUUUAGCAGUCAGCUCCCGGAUUUGAUGGUCUUGUCUUACAAGGCGACCCUCUAACUGGUGAAUAGUUUCCUGGAAA